UACGUAGGUGACCAGCGUUGUCCGGAUUUACUGGGCGUAAAGAGCGCGCAGGCGGUCGUUCAAGUCGAGUGUGAAAGCCCCCGGCUCAACUGGGGAGGGUCAUUCGAUACUGAUCGACUUGAAGGCAGGAGAGGGAAGUGGAAUUCCCGGUGUAGUGGUGAAAUGCGUAGAUAUCGGGAGGAACACCAGUGGCGAAGGCGACUCUUUGGCCUGUAACUGACGCUGAGGCGCGAAAGCG
rnacentral:rRNA from 1 species